rnacentral:rRNA from 1 species
UACGGGGGGGGCAAGCGUUGUUCGGAAUUAUUGGGCGUAAAGGGUUCGUAGGUGGCCGGCUAAGUCAGACGUGAAAUCCCUCAGCUUAACCGGGGAACUGCGUCUGAGACUGGUCGGCUUGAGUGCAGGAGAGGAACGCGGAAUUCCAGGUGUAGCGGUGAAAUGCGUAGAUAUCUGGAGGAACACCGGUGGCGAAGGCGGCGUUCUGGACUGCUACUGACACUGAGGAACGAAAGCCAGGGGAGCAAACAGG